UCUUUUUUCUAUCAUUGAGGAAAAGAUUCACUUGCUUUCAUGGCUUGUGUUUUGAAGUCAAAAGCUAUUCUGGGCAGAGGACAGUGGAAAACCCCAAUAUUUCAGUGGGGUAUAUUGGGCCUAUCAUAUAAUAGGUGUAAAAAAUUGUUUCCUUAGAAAAUAUUAGAAGAAAGUUAAAAUCUUAAGGCUUCAGGCACAAAUGUCCCUGUUUGAUCUAUAUAUUUAACAACAAACUGUUUUUUUCACACACUAACUCAUAACUAAAGCCAGAACAGCAGCUGAAAUCAAUAGAUCCUCACUAAUUUUCCUAAAUUCAGGAUCUGACCCACCCAUUAAUGGCUUAAGCAGCACCUUAAGGAGUACCUCAGAAAAGGUCUGUGUGCUGAGAGCUGCCAGAGCUUUCCUGCCUGCUGCUGCCAGCACCACCACCACAUUCAUCAUGAAAAUAUGUAACUGGAGAGCCAUGAAGCCACUGCAGAGGGGAGAAGGGAACUAAUGAGGUGGUUUCACCAAGGACCUUGAAGUGUUUUCCAAAGAAGCCUGGUGAUCCAUAGUGUGGCUUUGAAAGGAGGCACAGAGGAAUACCACUGUUGAAGCCCAUGAUGCUCCUGACAGCACCAGCACUGACUUCAAUGAAUGUGGAAUAAGGAAUUAAGUCCCAUGCCAUUUCAUUUGGAAAUAUGUGAGAAAUGUGGAUAAAGCCAAGCAUUUUGCUUCUUCCAUCUCCAAGCAGGGGAAAGGUUAGUGUUUAGCCACUCAAAGCCCAAGCUGGUAAUGGUACCUAUUAAGACAGCCUGACAGUUCCCAUUAUAAAACCCUCCUUCCAGUUUCUUACAGCUCUGCCAAAUCCUAAUGAUUUAGACUGAAUUUUUUUUCUCUCCAGCCUGCUUCUGGAUGAAUUUAUUUAGGAAAAGAGAAAUUCAACAUCUAUUUACACUGGCAAGGCUAGAAAACAAACAUUGUUUUGCCUGUGUUUUAGAGAAGUGACCUUUUCCUUGACAGCUCUACUUUGCUGGCACGUGGAAUCGAGCAGCUCUGCUGAGUCUGAGCUGUGUCCUUUGCCAGCUCUGUAAAAAGCCAACCCUAGUGUUCAAACUCAGGACUGAGGGACUCUGCCUGCUGGGAGGGUAUGAAAGCUGCUUGCAUUGUGUAAUAUUUCCCAGGGAUUAUGUGUUUUCAUUCAUUCAUAUAAAAAAACAUGAUAAAUGUUUAACAGUGAGGCCAAGGCACCCACUUAGGAUGUGGGAGACCCAAACUGAAUCCUUGCUCUGCUUGGAUCAGUGUCCAACAUCAGACAUGACCUUAUGGACUAUAGGUGUUGUGACCCCUGGUGAUGGGUUGCAGGAUCCCUGUCUCACUCAGAAUUCAGACCUUGUAGCUAUGCCAUAGACUUAAAAUGCUUUCAAAGAUUGAACCAGAAGCAUUGUUACUAUUUUACACAUGGCCAGCUUCAUCCCUAGAGAGGCAAAAGGCUUCUGCAAGCUCUACAGCUCAUUAAAAGCAGAAUUUAGAGAAAACAGCUUUCUCUUGGCUUUGCCUGGGCCAGAGGAAGCGGUGGGGAUGCCUGGGUGAUCCAGCACGUGCCUUCCUUGAUGCGCCGUAAACAGCAUUUCCACCAUCGCGUGCCUGCUGAGGUACCUCAAAGACAACUACAGACAGAAUGUACCCGAUAUCUGAGUGGGAAGUUUGGCUUUUUUUGGCUGGGGAAUAGCUGCCGAGUUUGGCCUGCUGCAGCACUCACCAGGAACUGGUACACGUGGAGGUUGUAAGGCUUGCGGAAAUGCUUCUCGUCGUCCCCGUAGUGCAGGCGCUCGCAGGCGGCGUCGUAGCGCAGCUCCCGCCACUCCCCAUUGUACACGUACUCACAGAGCCCUCCAAAAAACCCCGGGUCGUAGACGUUCUGCCUCCCUUCCUGUGUCAGGAUGUUGUACCUUGGAUAGAGGUGGUGGUCAGGAGUUUAUCCGUCACUCCGGUUUUAUUGCCUCGCUCUGUCACAGGUUCUCCUGAUGCUGAUACCCCCUCCACCAGGUUAUCUGUGCUCAGGCCUCCUGAGGAACUGGAAUGGAGCUUAAGGCUGGGCUGGGUUUGUUGUCUCAUUGCUGUCUCCUUCCCAAAGCUACCAGGAGACAAACAGCCAUUUUGUUUCCAAGGCAUUAGUUUGGGCUCGCAUGGGAGAAAUGGAAGAAAUCAGUGAAGUUGCCCAGCCCCUCCCAACAAGCACAGCUAUGAAAGUCCCAAAGUCCUGGAAUUCCUCCAGGUUCCUCUUGAGCCUAAUGCAUCUCAUUGUCACAAAGUGCUUCCUGGCAUUCUCUGCAAUUAUUUUCUGUCUUAAUUUAAUCUCUUUCUUUUUAAUAAUGGUCCCGUUUCUCAGGGUAGUUAACACCCUCCCUAGACAUGAAGCCUGUGCUUUGCCAAGUCUGUCACUUAUUAUUUCCUUAUUCCUCCUUCUUCCUGCUCUCCAGCCCUCACAGCUGCUGCCCUCUGAAAUCCCUCCUAUUACUUGGUAUUCCAUGUAAUUCCAUGGCCCAAAGUGAAAGCUUUAUUCAAACUAGACAGCAGCACUGCUCUUCUCAACAGGGAACCAUCUUUAGGACUAAGACAGCAAAUGCCAUUGCUUUUGUGUGUUCUGCAGGAGAAACACUUCAGAGAGCAGAAUUAAACAGGGUUCUCAGUGGAAAUUAAUGCAUGCCUUGUAAAACUUCUGAUGGACCCUCCCAGUCCCUGGGCCAGGGAGACAUUUAUCUCAAGGACCCCAGAGAGAGUUGGAUUCAGCUGAUGGGAAAGUUACACAAUGGCUGGUUCCAUUCUCAUCCUGUAGCCCAUGUUCAUAAAAUCUUAGAGUGGUUUGGGCUGGGAGGGACCUUAAAGAUCAUCUCAUUCCAAUCCCUCUGCCACAGACAGGGCCGUGUUCUCCAAGGGAAACUUAGCUUGGUUAAAAUACAAGGUUUUCAACAAGAGUGUCACAGUCACAAUUUGCCUUUCAGUUUCAUUUUAUUCUAGAUUUCUCUUUUGUCUGUAUUACCUAAUCAAAGUUUGAAACUGAACAGGGAAACACUUUCGUGGAUAGGAGUAUUUAAUGUACUCGUGUGGAGCUCAGGCUCUCUGCCUUGAAUCUAUGCUCUGAAGUCCUAAAUCCUGGAGUUAAAUCUCCUUAAGGAUGAAUGCCAGCAGGGUGCUGCAUCUCCAAAGUCUGCUGUUUGCUUUAGUCUCUUACCUUUAACAACUGUGAGAUAACUGGGAUCUGUUUUUUCAGGAGUAUAAAAAGGGCAUCACAAGUGCUGUGGUCAGGUAAUAGAUCUGAGACAGAAUUUGAAAUAAAAGGUGGAAUGAUCCCUCAUUCCUACCCAUGGUUACAUGGGACAGCACCUCCCCUUUGGGUUUUGUACAGCCCCUAUCAAUUCAUGGAUCACUGCUAUUACAAGGAAGAGCAAUAUAAGAAACAAUCCUGUUUUGAUUGCAAGAGGAGCAGCUAUUGAUUAAUUACUCACCCUUGGACUACUUUUUCCACCCCUGGGAUUGGGAACAGAUGUUCACAAGGGCUUUCAAUAUCUUCAUCCUCACAAUUAUCCUCAUCAGACCCAUCUCUGCAGUCUCUGUCUCCGUUGCACACGAGAUGCCGUUGAAUGCAGCGCCCUAAAGUGCACAGAUGCAGGCGGUGGCUUAUCCACCCUCCUGGCAGCUUGCAUUGAUUCUGCUGUUUUUCACUCACAUCUCAAGGCCACCAGAAGUCAUGUUGGGUGUUAAGCACAGUGUUAUUCCACGGGGAAUUGGCUUUUCCAAGAUUCUAGGACCUAAACACAGCACAGAGCCCAAGCUGGCUACUCCCAUGGGCUUCUAUCAGGUGGGAAUCAAGGAGAGGUCACCUCGCUGCCCUGACUUUAUUUUCUAAAAUCACACCCUUGGAAAGUUGCUGUAGCAAUAGCUUCACCCCUUGGCUUAAGGAAGUCAACUCCAUCUCAUUAAAGUGCAAGGUUUCCUCUUCCUAUUGCAGGAGGCAUUUGGGGAGUUGAUUGCAAUAAUUAAUUGCAAGAAUGGAUAUUUGCAGGAAAGGCAAUGUGGAAGGGCUUUUGCUUCUGGGAGUGUGGAGAAAGCCUUGAGGAGGAAACUGGCACUGUCUAGUUUACCCCAGUGGAGUGAUGAUAACCUGCUCCAGCUGAUGAGCUGGUCACAGAGCUGGCCUGUGGCUCCAAAUUUCUAUACAAUUUUUUGUUUAAUGCUCAGGAAGGAAGUUUGAGCCAUUUGUGUAGAAACAAAACCCUGUCAAGACUAGUCAAAGUUUCAGAGAACAGCCGUUUUAUAUCCUAAUCCUCAGAGCUGGAGGUGGCUAAAAAUAACUAAAUCACCCCAACAGAUUGCUGGUUGGGUUGAUGAUUGAACUCUGUCUCUAGCAGGGGAGAACGUGGCGUGCUGUGGGAGCAGCAGUUAGAGAAGAAUAUUCCUACUCUCUUUGUUCCACUGAAAAAUUCACAUUCUCCAUGUCACACACCCUUCUUUUCUACCCAAAUCUGACUGCAGCAUGGAUGGAUUUCUGUAAAAAUAGGGGGGAAACACUGAAGAGGAGAAUUUCCCUGCUUUCUCUUGUACAGUUCACCCUCCUGCUUCCUGGAGCAGGGGACUGAUACCCCCAGGACCAAAACCUCUCUGGCAGGGGCUUGUGCCUGGGUCACUCACCUGUUUCCUCGCACUGGAAGUCCUGCCCACACCCUGGUGGCCCCGAGCAGGUUGUCUCAGCUCGACAGGCUUGCUCAUCCCAGAGGUGCCCGGCGCAGCGUCGCCCUCCGAACUGUGCUGGCUGCAGCAGCCGCCGGUACCGGUGCUGCAAGAGACACAGCCACGUGUGUCCCCCACUGACGUCCCCUCCACAGGCCAGGGAGCUGCCAAAACUAUCAUUUUAAUAGCUAUCCCGGUUUUUAUGUGUGUGUGGGGCUUGAAGAUUUCGUGUGUGAUAAAGGCAGGAGCGUCAGCAGAGAGCUGGGAACUCAGAUUUGCCUGGACUUCGUACAUGUGAACUGGAAUGGCUGUUUGAAAAAUAUCUCUGUUUUAUACCUUGGAAAAACAUGGCAUUUUUCUAGCUGCAUAUGCUUUGUCUUGCAAUGCACCAGGCUCAGAUGGACACAGACACUAAUUACAGCACUGAUCCUGCAACAUUUCUGAUGGAUUAUUAAUGAGAAUUGCUGCUCUUCAAACUUGGAAGGGGGGAAAAAAAGAAACGGGGAAAAUCCAUAUUAUUUACUGAUAAUAUACUGUCUGUAAGCACAGGAACAAAAAAGGCGGGGAUAAGAUAAACUCAGUAGAAAGCAGAAUUAUGUCAGGUAUGUGAAAAUAAAUUCCCAAACUAUGAAGACAUAUGUGAAAUGAUAUAAAAAUAUGAGAACAGGAGCUGAUGCAUGAAGGCUGCUUCAAAUUUCUUUUCACUGGACUAUUUGCAUUAAGAAUCAGGAGAUACUUAAUUAAAUCUGAGACAGAAAAGGAAGAAAGUCUUGUGCAACUAUUCUGGCCUGAUUCUUCCACCAUUUGCCUUGAUUUUGUUUUUCCUGUUCUGCUGCCUCCAAUGAAUUUAUUCCCCAGUUUACACCAGGGUAAAUAAGAGCCUCUCUAGCAGAGGAGCAUUUCCAUCAUAUUUGGAUGAGUUUACUGGAUGCUUCAGAAUGAUGAAUAUGCAUAAUAUAUAUAAUUAAUGUGUGUACGUCCUCAUCACAGACACAUCUGAAGAUAAAUGAAUACAUUACAGCGGAUCCUUACUUUUUUCUCUUGGCAAGGGAAGCAAUCAGUCCAUCCUGACCACUGGCUCAGCUGACAGUCAACAGGAGCUGGAGAAUUAACAUCUCUGCUGCUUCUUCUAGGGAGGGGAAGAAAGGGUGGUCUAAGGUCUUUGAAGCUGUGAUUUGA